GACGAACGCUGGCGGCGUGCCUAAUACAUGCAAGUUGAGCGCUGAAGGUUGGUACUUGUGCCAACUGGAUGAGCAGCGAACGGGUGAGUAACGCGUGGGGAAUCUGCCUUUGAGCGGGGGACAACAUUUGGAAACGAAUGCUAAUACCGCAUAAAAACUUUAAACACAAGUUUUAAGUUUGAAAGAUGCAAUUGCAUCACUCAAAGAUGAUCCCGCAUUGUAUUAGCUAGUUGGUGAGGUAAAGGCUCACCAAGGCGAUGAUACAUAGCCGACCUGAGAGGGUGAUCGGCCACAUUGGGACUGAGACACGGCCCAAACUCCUACGGGAGGCAGCAGUAGGGAAUCUUCGGCAAUGGACAAAAGUCUGACCGAGCAACGCCGCGUGAGUGAAGAAGGUUUUCGGAUCGUAAAACUCUGUUGGUAGAGAAGAACGUUGGUGAGAGUGGAAAGCUCAUCAAGUGACGGUAACUACCCAGAAAGGGACGGCUAACAACGUG
rnacentral:rRNA from 1 species